GAUGAACGCUGGCGGCGUGCUUAACACAUGCAAGUCGAACGAAGCACUCUACUUGAUUUCCUUCGGGAUUGAUUGUUCUGUGACUGAGUGGCGGACGGGUGAGUAACGCGUGGAUAACCUGCCUCACACAGGGGGAUAACAGUUGGAAACGGCUGCUAAUACCGCAUAAGCGCACAGCACCGCAUGGUGCAGUGUGAAAAACUCCGGUGGUGUGAGAUGGAUCCGCGUCUGAUUAGCUGGUUGGCGGGGUAACGGCCCACCAAGGCGACGAUCAGUAGCCGGCCUGAGAGGGCGACCGGCCACAUUGGGACUGAGACACGGCCCAGACUCCUACGGGAGGCAGCAGUGGGGAAUAUUGCACAAUGGGGGAAACCCUGAUGCAGCGACGCCGCGUGAGCGAUGAAGUAUUUCGGUAUGUAAAGCUCUAUCAGCAGGGAAGA
rnacentral:rRNA from 1 species